GUGUGAUAACCCAGAAACCCAGAGACCAUUUAUGAGAUAACUGUCUGGAGAAAAGGAGGCACGAAACUCAAGAUGUUUUCAGUACAGAGAAGUGUGAAAAUAUGUUGAAUGCUCCCAAUCUGAGAACUAAGAUACAAUGUUUCACUGAGCUCUAGAAAUAUUUAAGAAAUUUUUGGAUGAUUGACUCAUAAAGUGCUAAGAAUUGGUAUAUGCCAAGCCAGGCUGAUGAAAAGGUUCAAUAAACGAAAAGAAAGAGAGAGAUCAUAUGCAAGAAGGAGAAUAAGAAUAUCUUUGAAACAGAUAAACAAUUGUGACAAGAAUUGUGAUAAGAACACCAGACUCUCCCAUCAGAGUCGGAAGCCCAGCUCCAGAAUUUGAGUAGUGUGAACCUGGGAAAAUUAUUUAAUCUCUACAUGCUUCUGUUUUCUCAUAUGUAAAAUGGGAUUCACUUAACAAGACAUAAUUAUUAGGGACCUGUAAUGUAACAGGCUCUGUCUCAGGUGCGGGGCCUUGUUAUAAGCACUGGAGAGCAGUUACUUAAGGGCUGUUAUGAAGUUAGCCCAUAAACGUAAAGACCUGAGAACACUAUUAUCCUCAGGAGAUGGAGAAAUACAUUUUGGAAAAGAAAAGGAAUGGGAAAUAAGCAGACUGAAAUGAACAGACUGCUGACAGAGCUAAGGAAAUGAUGAAAUGAAAUGCGGAAUGCCAUAAUAGAAUUUUCAAUGGAAUUGAAAGUAAAUUGAAGUAAAGAGAACAUUACCUGACAAAAAUGUCAAACAAAAGCCCACGUCCAAACCCCGCUUGGUUGACCUUUCUUCGAUAUCCCUUCGUUUUGGUGUAUCUACGUGCCCACUUUGCUGCUGUAUUAAUUUCCCAAACAUCACUUAGAGUUAUGUCCACCCUCACACGCUUAAUGACUCCCAACGUCUUCAACCCAAACUAAUAAGCAGUAUCUGCCCAGGGAGCUGAGCAGAGGGCGUGUGUCAUGUGGGUGGAAGUUUGGAGCCGGAGUGGUGGCUGUUUGUUACUGAAAGAAAAAGAGAGACAUGCCAUACACCUUUUGUGCUCUGGAUGGAAGAAACAGAAACCACCAAAAAGAAGCCAUCAGAGUGGCAUUGGCUGCUGGUGGAGCUGGUCAGACCAGUGGACGCUGAUACCUGGAGGAUGCAAAGAUACACAGCUGGGGCAGCCAACUGGAAAUGAACCCAACAGCAGGAGGCCAGAGGAAUAUGCAGGCCUGAAGGAGUCUAGAACAUCGUGGUGGUAGGUAGGUUGAGGCCGAGGCAAGCAGUAGCACACAGCAGGCAGCAUCAAGGAAUGACAAGAGGUACAUGAGUUUCCUAACACCCCACAGAGUUCAGCAACUGGGAAGUCAGCAGGAGGCCAUAUGCUGAGGUUUGAGGAGGGAGCGAGAGUCCCAGGGGCUAGCUAGUCAGUGGACCUCAAAUUUAAGCUUGG
rnacentral:lncRNA from 1 species